CUACGGGGCGCUCCAGUGAGGAAUAUUGCACAUUGGGGGGAACCCUGAUGCAGCAACGCCGCGUGGAGGAUGACGCAUUUCGGUGUGUAAACUCCUUUUAUAUGUCAAGAAAAUGACGGUAGCAUAUGAAUAAGCACCGGCUAACUCCGUGCCAGCAGCCGCGGUAAUACGAAGGGUGCAAGCGUUACUCGGAAUCACUGGGCGUAAAGGACGCGUAGGCGGGUUGGAAAGUCAGGUGUGAAAUCCUACAGCUUAACUGUAGAACUGCACUUGAAACUUCUAAUCUAGAGUAUGGGAGGGGGAGAUGGAAUUAGUGGUGUAGGGCUAAAAUCCGUAGAUAUCACUAGGAAUACCUAAAGCGAAGGCGAUCUCCUGGAACAUUACUGACGCUAAGGCGUGAAAGCGUGGGGAGCAAACAGGAUUAGAUACCCCCGUAGUC
rnacentral:rRNA from 1 species